rnacentral:lncRNA from 1 species
UCGAUUUACAGUGUAGCAAUCAUAUUUUUUAAAAAGAGUGAAGAAUUUGUGUACAGCACAGCGAGAACUCAAUAACUCUAAAACGAGUCAGUGUAUUUUUGCAUAACCCAUAAUAACAUGAGUCAAAGGUAAAAUCUGCAAAAUAUGUUAUCAUUUACAACAAAACUAUUCUUGCAUUCUCAAUAUUCAGAACCCCACAUCUAUACAAAAUAAAGUAAAAAAGACUUGCAUAAAUAAAUAUCUAGCAAUAAACAGACAAGAUAUACGCCGUUAUCCUCUCAAAUUUUUAGUGUCGGCUAAAUCAAAUUCAAUUCGACUCAAACAAUAUAAAUGUAUGUAACUCAAGCAAUAUUUUAGACUGUAUUUAAUUAUGCAAGAUUUGAUACCACUAGAACCAGUUUUCAAAAGUAAAAUUGGGAUAUUAUUGGUGUAGUUCAAGCCUAUUUUCUCUACAUUUUCAAAACAAACCUUUUAAUUUCGUAGUUGGUUUGUUUCUUAUUUCAUAUGAAGAAAAAACUGCAAUAUCAACAUUCUCAAAACAAAGUGUUAGUAGUAUCAACCUAAUUCCUAAAUAAAGCUUCAAAGCGAGAUAAGUAUUCAUUCCUUUACGAGUCCAAAACCAUCUUUUAUAAACGAUGAAAUACAAAUAGUCAUUAAUUUCACACAACAUAUAUAAUGGUGCAUAUAGAUCUACAAUAUAAUUUCAUUAUAAAAACUUGUGCUGAGCUAUCAAUUUACACAGCCAUAUGAAUGAAAAAUAAACAUACAAAAUACACGCCCCAAAACCCAAACAAUUGUGCAUAAGGUGUAAUUAAUCAGUGAUAUGAUAAAACAAGGCAAGCAAGAAAAAAAUGACUUUAAACAUAUCCACACUAAUACCACAAUCACAGCACCAAACCAACUCCACGCUGACUCCACGAUGACUCCACAUCGACUGCUUCAUUGAAAUUGGGGGCUAUGCUUUUUUGAUCAGCCUGGGCCCCGUUUCAUAAAACUUGAUAUCAUCAACAGGAUACAAUAACAGUUAUAAGUUAAUGAAAUUGUAGCAUCUCAUUGACUGAGAGCAGAUUUGUCAUAGAAAUUUAGCAUUUGUUAUUGAUAACAAGUUUUAUGAUACCGGGCCCACAUGUUAGCCUCACUAAUGUGACUGAGGUACAGAAUAAAAGAACAUUAUAGUGACAUGACAUCAAAUGUAACAUGUGUACAGGCACAGUACUGCAAACAAAUUGUUAGCUCAACAAGCUAAACUGCAGUUUAGUUUUCAUAUUAAAUAUAAAUGCAUUUUUUCAGGACUUCUGUAUUUCCUUCUGGAUAUUAGAAUCAGCCUCUACCCUACAUGAAACUCACUCUUUUCACAUAAAACUUGUAAAGACCUAGUAAUUUUGUAUCAACUCUCCAUACAAUGUUUCUCUCAUGAAAUAUAUCCAUGGAGUGCAUUUUUCCCCAUUUGUGUUCACUCACCGCAAUUUAUUAUACCAGUGACUAGAGUCUAGUGUUGCAUUACGUUACUUACUAAUUGUAUUUUUUUUAAAUAAAUGAAUACUUUUAAGCAUAGCUCAACAUGUAUUUACUUUCAAUAAUUUUAGCUGCUCAAUACACAUUACCACAAAGUGGAAACAUACCAUCCAGCUGCACAAAUAUAGAUUUUAAACCUACAAAAAAGUGGUUACAUACUGUAAAACCAAACUAUCAACAACAAAAAAUUCAUGAACAAAAGAUUCAUGCCACAAUAUAAUUGAAUUGCAAAAGUGAAUUUUUCAAGUCACAAAAGAUUCUGACCAAAUCAGCCAUCUCUUAUACUUUUAUCACAGGUUUCUAGUGGCAGAUGUUUCUGGUUUUAAGGGAAAUA